rnacentral:rRNA from 1 species
UACAGAGGGUGCGAGCGUUGUUCGGAAUUAUUGGGCGUAAAGCGUAUAUAGGCUGUAAUGUAAGUUUGGUGUAAAAGUUUAGAGCUCAACUCUAAAAGGUCAUUGAAUACUGCAUUACUAGAGGUCGGGAGAGGUAAAUGGAAUUCCUAGUGGAUAGGUAGAAUUUGUUGAUAUUAGGAGGAACUCCAGAGACGAAAGUGGUUUACUAGAACGAAUCUGACGCUGUAAUACGAAAGCGUGGGGAGCAAACGGG